UGCACUCCCUACUGCACCUGCACU
rnacentral:siRNA from 1 species